AGGCAAACCUAUGGAAACAUAGGGACGCAAAGCUUGAAGUCUAAGUGCUGGUAGGUUCUGUGUAAGAUAGUUCGGCUGC
rnacentral:ncRNA from 1 species